ACAAAAUCAAAUUAGGGUUUAUCAUGGUCCUAAAUCCCAGCUUAUGCUUUCUGCCAUGGAUGCUACGUAAGUUUCAUUGACUUUCUUGCUCGCUGUAGCUGGUGGCUUCUUACAUUGCUCUUUAUCGUUUCACACUAUCAAUAGUUGUGGUUAAUCUUUGGCAGAAUAGUUUAGGCAAGAGUUUUGUAAUCAGUUAUAACCUGAAACUCCACUAAGUUUGGGAACUGAGAAAAUGGGUGACUCUCCGUCUCUUGGAAAACGGAAAGCAGAGGAUUCACAACUCAAUGAGGUUUCAACUCAACAGACCCUCUCAAAUAAACGCCGCAAUUUGGCGCGAACAUGCGUGCAUGAAGUGGCUGUUCCCAGUGGGCACGUUUCAUUCAAGGAUGAAUCAGUUUAUGGCACUCUGUCAAAUCCUGUGUAUAACGGAGAGAUGGCAAAACAAUAUCCUUUCACGCUCGACCCUUUUCAGCAGGUAUCUGUUGCCUGUUUAGAAAGAAACGAGUCUGUUUUGGUCUCUGCACAUACUUCUGCUGGUAAAACUGCUGUUGCUGAGUAUGCUAUUGCAAUGGCUUUUAGGGACAAGCAGCGGGUUUUAUAUACUUCGCCCCUCAAAGCUUUAAGUAAUCAGAAGUACAGAGAACUUAGUCAGGAGUUCAAAGAUGUAGGGUUGAUGACCGGUGAUGUUACUAUUUCACCUAAUGCUAGUUGUCUAGUAAUGACAACAGAGAUUCUUAGGGGAAUGCUAUACAGGGGUUCUGAGGUUUUAAAGGAAGUUGCAUGGGUUAUAUUUGAUGAAAUUCAUUACAUGAGAGAUCGUGAAAGAGGGGUUGUUUGGGAAGAGAGCAUAAUAUUUUUGCCCCCAGCUAUCAAGAUGGUUUUUCUAUCGGCAACCAUGUCAAAUGCCACGGAGUUUGCGGAAUGGAUAUGUAACCUGCACAAACAGCCUUGUCAUGUGGUCUAUACUGAUUUCCGACCAACUCCUUUGCAGCAUUACGUGUUCCCCAUGGGUGGUAGUGGCUUGUAUUUAGUAGUAGAUGAGAAUGAGCAAUUCAGGGAAGAUAAUUUUGUGAAAUUGCAGGAUACCUUUUCUAAGCAGAAACUGGGAAGUGCAAAAUCUAAUGGGAAAACUGCAAAAGGCGGGUCUGCAUCUGGUGGUUCCGAUAUAUACAAGAUAGUGAAGAUGAUCAUGGAACGAAAAUUCCAACCUGUUAUCAUCUUCAGCUUCAGUCGAAGAGAAUGUGAGCAACAUGCCAUGUCUAUGUCCAAGCUAGAUUUCAAUACCCAAGAGGAAAAGGAUACAGUCGAACAUGUUUUCCGUAAUGCAGUACUCUGUUUGAAUGAAGAAGACAGGAGUUUACCUGCUAUUGAAUUGAUGUUGCCACUUCUUCAGCGAGGAGUUGCUGUUCAUCAUUCUGGCCUUCUUCCUGUUGUUAAAGAAUUGGUUGAGCUACUUUUCCAGGAAGGCCUUGUGAAGGCUCUCUUUGCCACUGAGACUUUUGCAAUGGGCUUGAACAUGCCUGCAAAAACUGUUGUGUUCACAGCUGUUAAGAAGUGGGAUGGUGAUAGCCACCGUUAUAUUGGAUCUGGUGAAUAUAUCCAGAUGAGUGGAAGGGCUGGUCGUCGUGGCAAAGAUGAACGUGGAAUUUGCAUCAUUAUGGUUGAUGAGCAGAUGGAAAUGAAUACCCUCAAGGACAUGGUUUUGGGCAAACCUGCUCCGUUAGUCAGUACAUUCAGGCUAAGCUAUUACUCAAUUUUAAAUUUGAUGAGCCGUGCAGAGGGACAGUUCACUGCUGAACACGUAAUAAGGAAUUCAUUUCAUCAGUUUCAGUAUGAAAAGGCCUUACCUGAUAUAGGGAAAAGGGUUUCAAAGCUGGAGGAGGAAGCAGCCUUGCUUGAUGCGUCAGGGGAGGCUGAAGUGGCAGAAUAUCAUAAACUUAAGCUGGAAAUAGCACAACUUGAGAGGAAGAUGAUGUCACAAAUAAUAAGGCCUGAAAGAAUACUUUAUUUUCUUCUUCCAGGUCGAUUGGUCAAAAUAAGAGAAGGAGGAACUGAUUGGGGCUGGGGGGUUGUGGUUAAUGUUGUUAAGAAACCUUCUGGUGGUGGUUAUAUAGUCGAUACUUUACUACAUUGCUCGCCUGGUUCAACUGAUAAUAGUUCACGGCCAAAACCUUGUCAACCCUGUCCUGGGGAGAAAGGCGAAAUGCAUGUGGUCCCUGUUCAAUUACCCUUAAUUUCUGCCCUUAGUAAAUUGAGGAUUUCUAUACCUCCUGAUCUACGACCCUUGGAAGCAAGACAAAGUAUACUGCUUGCUGUACAGGAGCUGGGGAAUCGUUUUCCUCAAGGUCUUCCAAAGCUUAACCCUGUGAAAGACAUGGACAUACGAGAUCCAGAAAUUGUUGAUCUUGUCAAUCAAAUAGAGGAACUUGAGAAAAAGUUAUAUGCUCAUCCUUUGCAUAAGCAUCAAGAUGUGGAUCAAAUUAAAUGCUUUCAGAGGAAAGCAGAGGUGAAUCAUGAAAUUCAGCAACUCAAGACAAAAAUGCGUGAUUCCCAGCUGCAAAAAUUUCGUGAGGAGCUCAAGAACCGCUCUCGAGUUUUAAAGAAGCUUGGUCAUAUUGAUGCCGAUGGUGUAGUUCAGUUGAAGGGACGGGCAGCCUGCUUGGUUGACACAGGCGAUGAGCUUCUUGUCACUGAAUUAAUGUUUAAUGGUACAUUUAAUGAUCUUGACCAUCAUCAAGUUGCUGCCCUUGCAAGUUGUUUUAUUCCGGGAGAUAAAUCAAAUGAGCAGAUACAAUUGAGGACAGAGCUUGCUAGACCCCUACAGCAGCUUCAAGACAGCGCAAGAAGAAUAGCAGAGAUACAACAUGAAUGCAAAUUGGAUAUAAAUGUGGACGAGUAUGUGGAGUCCACAGUGAGGCCUUACUUGAUGGAUGUCAUAUACUCUUGGUCAAAGGGAGCAAGUUUUGCUGAUGUUAUACAAAUGACUGAUAUCUUUGAGGGGAGUAUCAUUAGGAGUGCUAGAAGGCUUGAUGAAUUUUUGAAUCAGUGGAUAGUAAAACUUGCUGCUGAGAGGCAGUGGGGGAGGUUGACUUGGAAAAGAACUUUUGCAGCAGCAAGUGAAAGCCUUCGCCGAGGUAUUAUGUUUGCAAACUCUCUCUAUCUGUGAUUUGUUUCCCUGCAGGCUAUGCUGUAAAUCUGUCGUUCAUCCACCCAUGUAUCACUGCAUUCUUCACAAAUCAGAUGUUCUGGCAGAAGUUUUCUGUCUCCAUUCUGGAGAAGGCAAAAUUAGAAUGACCGUAAGCCUGGGUUUACAUUUUGACAAUUUAGCCAACUUCAUACUUCGUCAUUAAAAGAGAGUGUGAUAAAUUUGUGGCAUUUAGCUCUUCUGCAAUUAAAUCUCGUAUGAAGACUGGCCAACUAAUUCAUGAGAGCCAGUGCCUUGUUUAAUUUGAAGUCUGGGAGAAGGUGGUAGCUUCAGCCUGAAUAUCAUUUGACCAUCAAAUAACUAAACUGUUUUUGGGGAGCUUUGUAUACGUAUGAAGAGUACAGCAGGACAGUAAGUUGAACGGUGUGAGGAUCAUGUUCGUGGACUCUAAUUGAAUUCAUAUGUGAUAGUGAGAGUUCAGCGACUGAAUUGAAAAGUGGAAUUUCAGGAUAUGACUGCGAUUCUGAUCAUGAAACCCGUUCUGCGUCCAAACAUCACGAAAGGCACUGCAAAUGAGCAAGCUUUGCAAAAUGCUGUGCAUCUACUGGUCAGUCCCUAACUGCUGGGUCGAGCGUUUCUUGAUUACACAGGCAACAUGGAAUCCAACUCAUUGGUGGCUUGGCUGUUACUAGUUGCAGAAUCAUGACCCCGAUGCAUAUAUCAGAUUAAAUUCCUGGCGUUCCUGUUUGCCGGUUCUCUGGGUCAUUGUAACGGAGAGUUCGGGCAGUUGUUUCAUGUGACAGUUACACUAUCUGCAACCGGAGAUGGGGCAAGCCUGGCCAAUCCCCUCAGACACAGUUAUGGUCAAGCAGCAUGUGGCCAGGUUUUAAAUUAAAAUGAAUAAUGGGUUCUGGCUAUGUUUGAUGAGGAAAAAGUAGUCCUAUGCCAAUCUUUGCCGCUAUUCUGAAUCUUAGGCGUGCCAUGGAAGAAGUGAGGUGAUCCCUUUCUGAAGAGGCGGUCCCAGAUUAGUGCAGUUGUGGCCCUAAAACACUACUAUGAAUCCUUGCAGGCAAUCUAAGCCAAAAUGCUCCACCACGAAUGAAACUUGAAGGGGAAGAUGAACCCGUGAUGAUCUAGAAAAUUGCCCCGGAUUGCUUGACAACAACACAAAACCUAGGUGAAUUUGAUGAAUGAGGGAUGGAGUAAUGGAAGAACGAGGCGAAUGAUGAGAUUGUGGCUUGAAAAUGGAAUUGAUUUAGUGAAUGUUGGACGGAUCUUCUUGGCCAAGAGGAGAGAGAAGUGUGAUGAAUGAGAGGGAAGCGGGUGACUUGGGGUUGAUAUUCCAAGGCUUAGAUCAAUGAUGAGAAUUUGAUGGUGUCCCUUGGUUCCCUCAUGAGUGGUAAGGCUCUAGUGGAGUUCAAGAGAAUAAAAGUUAAGCGAGUAAAAUCUAGAUGAGGUGGCGGCAAUUAUGAGAGGAAGGGAGGAAUUUAAAAUGACCAAAUGGAAAAUUAAAAGGGAGGGAAUGAAUGUGAGAAAUGUGCAAACUAAUUGAACUAGUCCAAGAGAAAUUAUCAUGCUAGCUAUUGUUAACCUAUUGAAUAAGAUAAAACGAAAAUAACAUCAUAGAAAUCUCGGUUGUCCUAAUGCCCCCUCAUGCUGCAUCCCUUGCAUUUUCUGCCCUUAGAUUGAUCUCUAUUCCUAAGGACUUCUCCAAAAUGGCACGAUGUGCUAGCUUGUGACCAAUUGAUACAAGAAGUUCUUCAAUGCUCCAAUGUUAUCGACGUAUAAAAAUAAUGGAACUAACAUUAUUGAGAAUGUAGAUUCAGUGGAAGUGAGAAUUAAGUAGUAAAAUUUUCA